GACGAACCUUGCUACCGUUAUUCGGAAUUACUGGGCGUAAAGGGCGCGUAGGCGGUUUGUACAGUCAGGUGUGAAAUUCCCGGGCUCAACCUGGGGGCUGCACUUGAUACGUAGGAACUGGAGUGGGGAAGAGGGUCGUGGAAUUCCCAGUGUAGAGGUGAAAUUCGUAGAUAUUGGGAAGAACACCGGUGGCGAAGGCGGCGACCUGGUCCUUGACUGACGCUGAGGCGCGAAAGCGUGGGGAGCAAACCGG
rnacentral:rRNA from 1 species